rnacentral:rRNA from 1 species
UACGUAGGGACCAAGCGUUGUUCGGAUUUACUGGGCGUAAAGGGCGCGUAGGCGGCGCGGUAAGUCACUUGUGAAAUCUCUGAGCUUAACUCAGAACGGCCAAGUGAUACUGCAGUGCUAGAGUGUGGAAGGGGCAAUCGGAAUUCUUGGUGUAGCGGUGAAAUGCGUAGAGAUGCGGAGGAACACCGAUGGCGAAGGCAGCCCCCUGGGCCGACAUUGACGCUCAGGCACGAAAGCGUGGGGAGCAAACAGG